CUGUAUAAAUAGGUCAGAACCCUGUUCUCUUGAAAUCAUUCUGACGACCUAUUCAAAUAUAUAUAUCCCUUUGUUUUCUUGAGAUCCUGAUAGAAGUGUUGUUAUUCUUCUGGCGAUCUCAAAUAUGGACGUUGCUCAUCCACCGUGGAGGUGCUGCUUUUCUGGUUUUGGGAAACCAGAAAUCAUGGGAAUAUAUAUGCUUCUUCUGGAUUCUAAGGCGACGCUCAUGCCCGUGAACCGUCUUCCCACCUACCAGCGACACUUGAAGGGAUGUGGAGGCUAAGAUUGUGGAUCCGGAUACGGGUGUUGUCUAGGGGGUUGAUCAGACUGGCAUGGCGAGCUCUGGUUCCAGAGUCCUACCGUGAUGAAAG